CGGGCGGCAGGGGCGGCGGGCGGCGGGCAGUUGCCACUGCCCUAUCGUGAGGAUCCGAUGGCUUUCCAGCCGGAGAAGCGAUGCCACUGCAGGCCGCUGAAGAAGGAACCCCGCUGGAUUUCAUGGGGCGAUGAAAAUCCUAGAAGAAGGCUGCGUGCUCAGCAUUACCGAUGGCUGUGGGUAUUUUUCUUGGCAUGGUCCUUGCUCCCCAUUUGUUUGGCAACUACUUGUUGAUCUUAGGGAUUCAAUCAGGAGGAUGAAUGGUGAAGUGACUGUGGCUAGAACAAGGGAGGAGAAUUGGAGCAGAGGCUAUACUGGCACAACAAAUUGAUGAGAAGAAUGAAGAAAUCUCUGGAAUAAGGGCUAGGUGUGAUAGGAUGGAGAGAAUUGCAAUGUAUAGCAGUGUUUUAUAUGGCAUUACCGUGUUAGUGGUUGGUAUAUUUGCAGGCUUUGUAUUAGGUACAGGAUCAUUGUAAUGGUUAGAUGAUGUAAUGGUUAGAUAAUACACUCAUUUAUCUGCUAGUGAUAAAUUGGAGCAGAGGUUAUACUGAUGCACCUUUGUUUAAUACAUUUGUGUUGCAGUCAUCUGCUAGUGA